rnacentral:rRNA from 1 species
AUACGAAGUCGGACCUGCCCAGUGAGUUUUAAACGGCCGCGGUACUCUGACCGUGCAAAGGUAGCAUAAUCAUUUGCCUUAUAAUUGAAGGCUGGAAUGAAUGGUUUGACAAGAAUACGUCUGUCUCUUUUAGAUUGAUUAGAACUUUAUUUUUGGAUGAAAAAGUCCAGAUGUGAUUAAAAGACAAGAAGACCCUAUCGAGCUUUAAAAGAGUUAAUAGGCUUAGCUUAAGUCAAUAUAAGUAAAAGGAAAGCUAUUAAAAUACUUUGGUUGGGGCAACCAAGGAGUAAGUAAAGCCUCCUUUAAGUACUAAAUCUUACAUGUGUUGAUCCAAUACUUUUGAUCAAAGGAAUUAGUUACCGUAGGGAUAACAGCAUUAUCUUUUUCAAGAGCCCAUAUCGAAAAAAAGGUUUGUGACCUCGAUGUUGGACCAGAAUAUCCUGAAGAUGCAGAAGUCUUUAAGGGUUGGUCUGUUCGACCAUUAAAAUUCU